rnacentral:rRNA from 1 species
GAUGAACGCUGGCGGCGUGCCUAAUACAUGCAAGUCGAGCGAAAGGACGCGAAGCUUUCUUCUCUGAUGUUAGCGGCGGGCGGGUGAGUAACACGUGGAUAACCUACCUAUAAGACUGGGAUCACUUCGUGAAACCGGAGCUAAUACCGGAUGAUAUUUUGAACCGCAUGGUUCAAAAGUGAAAGACGGUCUUGCUGUCACUUAUAGAUGGUUCCGCGCUGCAUUAGCUAGUUGGUAAGGUAACGGCUUACCAAGGCAACGAUGCAUAGCCGACCUGAGAGGAUGAUCGGCCACACUGGAACUGAGACACGGUCCAGACUCCUACGGGAGGCAGCAGUAGGGAAUCUUCCGCAAUGGGCGAAAGCCUGACGGAGCAACGCCGCGUGAGUGAUGAAGGUCUUCGGAUCGUAAAACGCUUUUAUUAGGGAAGAAAAGAUUUGGAAUUAACUGUGCACAUCUUGACGGUACCUAAUCAGAAAGCCACGGCUAACUACGUG